AGCUCUGCAAACUUGCGCCUUACCUGCCGGCUUCUGAUAGGUGGGCGCUGCCUGUGUUCACUGUGGGUGGAUCUUGGGUUAUCAUGUUCAAAAAGUUCUUUCAACACAGAGCCCUCACUUUGAAAUCGAGCUGCUGUGGCAUGUGGCCAGGGUGUGCAGGGUUUGCAUUACAAAAUGCUGGGGAGGCCGAAUCUGUGUGGGAUCUUGGUCAUUCCUUCUGUGCCGUAAUCUUUUUUUUUUUUUUUUUUUUGUAUCUGGUUCUGUGCUGUGACGCCCCUUGCAGAUCUUGCUCCUAUUGGCCGUUGCUGACAUAUGUCUGUCUACAGCCCUGUAAUGGGGUUCUUGAAUGUUACAUCCUGAAACAUCAUUUCCUGUAAUAUGUAAGAAGCUUUCAUGUUUAUGUUUCUGCCUUCCUGUUCUCUGUUUCAAGGGAAUCGUAGAAUUUGGCAAAUCAGCACUUACUCAGCAUAUCCCUUUCUUGUAGAUUCUCGUUGACCUUGGUGGCAUCCUGGAGGUCAUGUGUUUGUAGAGAUAGAGUUCUUGAACAGUUUCCUCCAAGUGAUUAAGAGGCAUGGGGAAGUGAUUUGAGAUAUGCCUUUUUUUUUUAAUUAUAUUGGACAUUAUUGUAAUCAUUUCCUAAAAUAAUUCAUUGGCCUUUUUGGGGAAUACUUAUAUUUCUGUUUUACAUUGAAAGAAUAACUUCUUUUCUCAACAUUUCAAGUAUUGCAUGUAUAUUCUGCAGAUGAACAGCUGGCUUUCUGGGUGACAUUUUUAAAAUUUGGGAGACAGGGAGAAGGGCAGGAAUGCUGGGAUGAGCUGGGCCUAUGAGAGCAGCUGUGCGCUACUUUAAGAAAUUUGAUAUUUAAAAGGAUAGCAUUACAAAACAAAUGAGCCGUCAUUAGAUGAGAAUUGUAUUUUACAAAAAGGCUCCACUAAAAGGUGCCUUCGUGCCAUUGAUCCCUUUUAUAGGAAACUUCUCAUGCGAUUUGAAUUUUGAAAUAUCAACUGGAAUGCAAGUUAGGGACAUUUGUGGCAGAAUGUAAGAUUUGUUGGUGUGUUCCUCAGAUCAUCCCUUUCUCAAAAGCAUUUGAGGGCAAAGUUAACCUCUGUGCCCACUUAAUUUCUUAAAUUCAGGGUUUUGCCACUUACAUGCUGCCUCUUUAAAAUGGCUUAACUGAAGGGGAAAAGAGUCAUUUGAUUUGUGCAUUUAAGGAAUAUUUUGAAACCUAAUUAACAUGCCAAAAUGGAAUGGUCAGGUUUACCUGCAGGGCCGUCCGGUGUAGCUUAGUGACAGGGGUGGCGAAAGCCCCUUGGUUACAGAUGCUCUGGGACCCUCCCCCAGGACAGUGGCCCUGCAGCAGAGACCAAGAAGUUGUACCCAGAUUGCCCGUGAAAUUGAAAUGAAUGGAGGUGGUCUAAGGUGCACAAGCAGUAAAAAUCAUUACCUUGAAAUUUUCUCUCGGUGCGAAUUAUUCUUCAGAAUUAAAGGCUUGAUUUUUCUAAGCUGUAAUCCUAUUUGGGUCAUUUGUGGAAAACUCUAUUUUGAUAAAAGAAUAACUGCAAAAUCUUGAAACUUUCAAGGGACUUUUUGUUGUUAGUAGCUUAUUGAAAUGGCAGGAGAUCAUGAAAGAACUAUUUGGGGAAUUUUAAUUAUGAAAUCAUUUUGCUUUGCUGAUGUUUAGAAACAAGAAUUUGGGUUGAUAUGAGUAGCAGUUAUUCAUGGUUAACUCAGACUUUCUGUUGGGAUCAGGGAAAGGGAAGAACUGCCCACGAAGGACAUUAAGGAUUAAUUCAUCAAAUUUACUUUGCUUUCCAGUGUUCAUGCCCGUCUUCAAAAGAGUAACACCUCCCUCUCCUCCCCAGGUUUAGAGAAGCAUUAGUCUUAGCUAAGGGGUUUAAAGGAUAAGAGCCAAGACUUGGGGUAUGUAAUGUUGCAAGUAUCUUUUAAGUGAUGAAUAGUUUUUUGUUUUGUUUUGUACAUUAAACAGAGCACAAAAUUACUUUCAUGUUGAAAGUAGGUUAAUAGCCUAACUUGGGACUAAUAGUUUUAUGCCUUUUGCUAAGGCUUGAAUAUUAUAAAAAUUGAAGGAACAGCUUGAGUGAUGCUAUUGAUUUUUUUAGUUCAGGCUCUUUUAUAUUUGAACAAGUGAGUAAAAGUGAGGAUUGAAGACGUGAUGUAAAAGAAAUGUUUUCAGUUACUGUGUUUUAUACCCCUAGGGACUGGGAUACAGAAUAUUGUGGUGAAAAAGUUCAUUACUGAAUUAAUUCUUGAUGAGGACAUGUAAUUUAAAAAUUUUAAUACAUGCAAAGGAAAAGUAGAUGCCUGCAUUUUAAACAUAUUUGUGCCAAGAUGUAGAAUAGAGGUAAUGAUUAGAAAUUGUAAUUGGAACUUAAGGCUAAUUUUUGUUCUCAAUUUCUUUAUUUAACCCAAUGUCACUUUCAAAUGUCAUUUGAUUAUUUUCUGUUCCCAGCUUUCUUAGCUAUAACAUGCAAUCAGUCAUGCAACUAUAGUUUUACUUUAUGUAAAGUAGGAUUUUUAAAUAAAUAUUUGAUAAGCUUCUUAAGGAUACAACAUUACUUCAUACUGAUACCUAUGUGGAAGUCUACUAUGCGGUGCAUAGAACAGUUUAGACCUUGUAAUCUGCAGAAAUUUGGGCAAAGUCUUUAAAAUUAAGAGAGGCUGAGUUCAGAGUUUGAAGUCAUUGAAGAUCCUAUGACACUGCAUUUUCCUCUUUCUCCUCAAAGUACUUUCCUUCACUUUUAUAUGUUUGUAGUUUUCAGACUGGUCACCCUACAUUUUGGUGUGGGAUUACCUUAUCUAUAACAGCACUAGUAAGUACAUUUGUAAAAAGUAUCAUUUUUAAUUUUCUCCCAGCUGUUCCAUCUGGGAGAUUGUUUGAAUUUCAGUUAUUGAAUGUAGUUUAAUCAGAUGUUAUCCUAAAUAGAAAGAUUAUUGUAAUUUUCUCAACCUAGGGGAAAUUUAAAUGUAGUUUAAGAUAAUCUUAACAUUUUUGCAUUAUUGGAGGGAUAAUUAAAACACAGAGUAUGUAAGUUAAUAUUUCUAACUAUUGUUAGUAUUUGUUCUAAGUUAACUUUAUUUGAUAUAUUAUAAAAAUUAAUACAGUAGGUAUAGAGUCUCUCUUUUUUUUUUUAAUUAAUUUAUUUAUUUAUACAAGCACUGGGUACAGCCAGAAGCGCGGGAGGGUGAGAGAAUUCACCAGAGCCAGAGCAGGGAGCAGAGCAGGCAGAAGGACCGAGGUACACUGCUGAGGGGAGCAGCGGGUGGCAGGAGAGGUCUGUGCGCCAUGUGGGACCCUCCUCCGGUGGCCGGGGAGCAGCCGGGGAUCGAACCGGCGCUGCAGAGGCUGCGGGCAGCUUUGGAACCCAGCGCUCAACCGCUGCGCCACCAGGGAGGCCCUAGAGUCUCUUAAGAAUAUCUGUUUGUAAAAAAAAAAAGAAUAUCUGUUUGUGGAAUAUUUUUCAAAUAACCCUUAAGAGAUGAAAUUUCACUCUAGAACCUUAUAUGGUAAAAUGUAUACAGUCAAAUGCUUAAUACUAGUAUUUUGAUUGUUAUUUUACACUGAGGUUUUUGGGUAUGUUUUCGUGGAAAUACUAUUUUUUUUUUAUAAGAAGUUUUUCCUAAAACAAUGUCUCUGUUUUUAAUGAUUAUUUGAUAGUCCUCCGACUUUUACAUUUGAAAGACGUGGAAAAGAGUAAUUAAGUUGAUUCCAUAAGUCAUUAAUUUCAUGAGAGCAUGUGAUAUAACUCAUUUUUACUCAAUGCAGAGAGUUAUCUUUAUCCCAGACAAUUUUAUAGCCAACUAAUUGGCUGGUUUUGCAAAUUCGGGGAGUGUUGAGUAUGCCCAGAAAUGACCUGUUCGCUGCUAAGUGUUGGGCUGGUUUCCGUGUCAUGUGAAGUGGUGUUUCCUUAUGUUUGUGUCAUUUCUGUUUAAGCCUCUCCUCUUAAACCCUACUUUGAAUACCUUUUGGUCAUACAGUGUGCUCAGGAUUUAGUUUAUAUCCUGUACUUCUCUCCCCUCUUCCUCCUCCUGUUGUGGGAAGUUGGCCCUCAGCCUCAAACUACGGGAACUUUCAGUGCAUGAUAGAGACCCAGGAUGGUUGUGGGUUUUUUCCUGUUAUUUUACCUCAUGGAGAAAGUGAGGUUGUUAAUAGUGGGUUUAACAGUUUUGAACAUUUGUUUUAAUCAGUCUACUAUUUAGAGAGAGAAUGACACUUAAAAUUCUUGAGGCUAUCUAAGUGGUUCUGUUUCCACGAAUGUUAGUGGGAGGAGAGGACAGGAUAAAGGUAGAGAGAAGGGUUGUAGGGAUUCAAUUAGAUUGUAUAUAAAGUGAUUAUAAUUAUAUAGAGGUAAGACUUGUUCAAUUAAUUAUAUACCUUUUUACUAGGAUUGUAACCUUGCUUUUAAAUGCAUAUUUAUUUUAUUGACGUAACAUUGGUGUACAGCACUGUGUAUGAUUGAGAGGUAUGAUCACACCCUUCAGAUGUUUGUCACCAUGGCACACCCACCACCAGGGCCCGAGUCCUGGCUUAUUAGCUCCUCUCACUGUAAAGAUCAUGCCUAGUGAGUGGUCUUGCCAGGAGAGGCAUUUGCACAUCUUUAACCACUUUUACGUGCUGUGGCUCGGGAUGUAUUAGAUGACUGAGCAAGAUAAGAAGCAAUUUCACACUGAUGAUCAUUUCCAGUGAUCACAUUGAGAACCCCAAGCUCUACAAGGGGGGAGAACAGAUGGCUCCAGCUGUGUGGGGAGAGGGUUUUCAGGUAUACAGUCAUUGUUAAGAAAUUCCAGGUACACCAAUCUUGGAAACAGUUAGAUUGGUGGGUCUGCCCUACCAUAAAUCUUGAUUUGCUGGGUAGAAAAGGUCACUUAAGUUAAAGCCUCAUUCAAGAGUAAGAAAGCUGAUAAUUAACCUUUAUCUUCCGUUUUCUGUAUUAUACACUUUCAUCCUUAACAUUGAAGGCCUAGUGUUAGCAUGCUUGGCUUGAAGCAUUCCUAGUUCUUUAAGUGAAGAGGAACUACUUAGAAUGACUCCUUCCGCUAAGAAGUUAGAUUUCUAUGGAGGGAGACGUGAAGUCAGUAGCAUGCGUUUGUGUGGAUGCAGUCCCCUCUCUUUCAGAAGCGGGCCUUUUCAACUAUUCUGUCAGGGAUGCUGGCGGGAGCCAAGCAGGUCUGUUCCGAUUUCAACUGGCGCAGGUUUGCUUUGAUCCCAUAUUAAGUGUGGGAGUCUGCGUAAGAUUUUAUUUAAAAGCAGAGUUCUGAUAUUUAAAAUUAAAGGUGUGAUCAUCUCUUUUGUUAGCAUGUUGGAUCUUUUAACCAUCCUACUUAAAUCUCUGUAUUGGUUGAGUCUUUUUAUUAGGACGUAUAAGGCCUUUUUUUUAAGCUAGUUCCAGUUUCCUUCUUACCACUGUAUCCCUGGCUUUCCAUGUAAAUCUUGCCUUCUAGUCCUGAAAUUGCUUGCUAGUCCCUGAAAGGAAAAUGUCCUUUUGCAUUUCCAUGCCUCUGUCCAUGGAACUGCCAUCCUUGUUGUGCUCGGCAACCAUGGUCAGAGCUCCAUGGAAGCACCACCCCGUUGUUUUGUGACUGUGACCUUUCUAAAGAGCAGAGGCCAUCUGCCUGUGCAUCCACACUGCUUGGUGUGCGUUAAGUAUUCAGAUGCCUGUUGAAUAAUUGCACUUCAGAUUUGAGAGGUGGUAGAUUACUUGCCCACUCAUUGGACUAAGACAUCACAGCUCUUGCCUGUGCAAAGUAGUUGUGGCGACAUAGUGUCAGGUAUGAUGCUAAGUAUGUAAAAGGUACCCAGUUGUGUUUAUCAUGAAGUACAGUAAAGGCAAAAGAUAAAGUAUAUGGGAAAAUUGGACUAGCGGCUUAACGAAGUGAUGUAUUGGAUUCACUCCUAAAAGCUGGUUAUGAAAGCAUUUAUUAAUAAUUAUUUACUGCCUGACCACCCAUGGGAAAAAAAUUUCCCUUAUGUGAUGAAAGCUCAUAGACUCAAGAAGACCUUCAAAUGUUAACAUGUAUAAAAUAGCGAUACCCGCCCAGAAAGGUAAAAAGAAUGGACUCAGAAUAUAAAUUCCUGAAUUUAUAUCCCUUGCCUGCUUGUCAGUAGCUGUGUGAUCCUAUACAAAUUGCUUAAUGAUUCUGUGCUCAGCAGUAAAAUGAGAUUACCAAUACUGCUGCAUUUAUGGCUGUGAUGAAGACUAUGAGCUAGUGUAUGUUGAGCACUUAAAAGAAUGCCCACCACACAGAAAACUGUACUGGGCAGCAAUAAUUAAUUGUUAGUGUCUUCUUGAAAUCAGUGUUUGUGGUGACUCUUUCCUAUUGUUUAAAAAUAAUUGCUUUAAGGGGCCUCCUUGGUGGCAUAGGGGUUGAAGUCUCAGCGCUGUCAAGCUGACCGUCCAUCACUGCAGCAUGAGUUGCAUGAGUUUGAUUCCCCGCCAGGGAGCUACCCACAUGGUGCGGCAGACCUCACCCGUCUCCCCGCUGCUCCCCUCAGCAGUGUAAUUCAGUAGAUCCGCCUGUUCUGUCCCCCACUCUGUCUCUGGUGAAUCCUCUCCUCCACUCCCCAACACAACUCUGACCUGUACCCCAGUUCUUAUAUGCAUAAACGUUUUUUUUAAAUCUUUAAAAAAAAUUGCUUUAACACAUGAGAAUCUAAAUUAAAGAAACUUAACAUUUUGGGGUAGUUACUGUAUCUUUAAACUGGCAACUGUUUGUCUCCUGACUGGCUUGUUUCCCCUUCUCCAGGGGAUUAUGGGCUGUUUCAGUGCACUUGGUUGACAUAGCAGAUUUAAAACUUGUUCUCCUGAUUUCUCCAGCCCAGCAUUGUGUUCCCAUGACCUGUGCAAUUCUUGGUAGUGCCCACAAAAGAGGAGGGAGAGGAGCAAAUAGCAAGUGUAGGAAUCCAGUGACAAGUUCUUAAACAAGCCUUUACCUGCACCAAAUCACCGCUGUCCUCUCCUGUGCCUUGGAGCGCAGGUAUUCAGCUUUUUCCCUUUUUACAUUUUCCUUUGUUGGUUUUUUUUUUUUUUUUUUUUUUUUUGGCUUGAAAGAAUAGAGAGUUUAAAAUCUGAAUUGACAUUUGUUCCACAUAUAGAUUUACUUUAAUAAGUCAGUGAACCUGUUUCUUUAGCUCAUUUUUUGACAUAGGUAUCUGCAGGGAGGGAGGUAAAUAGGGCAUCAUAGUUUGUGUCAGUACAAUGUAACUGAAAAUCCUGUUAAAUAUGUCCAUUUAGGAUGCAAAGCCAAAUUUAAGGGCAGAAGAAUUGCGUCCCAAGGUAUUUGUGAAGCGUGGCCAUCCAUUUCUGCUUCUAACAGAUGAUACCCAGUGUGCCCAGGCCCUGGCUUGUCUUUCUCUUGUGUAACAGUUAAAACACAAGGCUAGCUGGUAACUCUUCAAAAUAUUUCAUUAAAGAAAGGAAUUUAGCAAACAGUUUUGUGUGUUUAUGCUAACUCUGAGUGAUUCUCAGAUGAGGGCCUGGGAUAAAAGAUAAGCGAGGCAUUUAUUUAUCUUUUCUGCUGAGUCCUACUGGGACAACAAGGUAUGUGGGAAUACGAGGAAAUCGAAAGCUGGGGAUGAGACGGGGAAAGUGCUGGAUUUUGAACAGAGCAAGGAAACAAAAUGAGACAUUAGCGAGGGAGCGUUUUUAAAUGCCAGAGACGUGCCGGUGGUGGCCUGGCAUGGGAAAUUGCAAAGCUUAUACAAGUCGAUCGAUACACUAAUAUUAUCUGGUAAUUAGAACAGUAGUUUAAUGUAGCAAAUAUUUGCUCAAGUGCCAUCAUUGGAAUUUUUCAAAUAAUUUUGUACCUCCCAGAAAAUUACAGAAGUUAGGGCAUAGUGGCAAAAACCAUUUCUAAAAUAAAUACAAUUUUGACUAAACCUGUUUCCUCUGUAAAAGCCAAGACAUGGUGAUGACUGUGUUGAAUGUUGUCGAGUCUUGAAAUUUCAUUUCCCUUCAGCAACAUGCCUUUCUUUGUUUGUUAGGCCCCACGACUUCUUGUUUUUCUCCUUACCUCAGUUCUUGUUCCUUGUUGUUACUAUGAAAUAGUAUUAUUUAAUCAGAAAGGAGAAAUACUGUUUGGGUGUUUUCAGAGACCUCAAAAAUGGUUGGUCUCACAGAGGAGCGAGUGAGAUUUAGAUGACUCAUACCCAGUUCCGUCUCCUCGAUACCAUCUCUAGCCAUGGUGUCAUCCACCUCUCCUCGCUUUAGAUGGUUUCUAAUCGUUAGAAGUGAACCUCUAAUUGAGCUAGAUCUAUUUCCCCUCUGAUUUUCACUCGCUGCUUGUUGCCAGUCUAGGGCUGCCAUGUGAAACUUACUCUUCUUACACACCAUAACUCUUAAAGUGUUUGGACAAGACCAUGAAAUCCUAGUUGCGUCUUCUUUUUGCUAUACUUAGGGGGAAAAGCCGUAAUUCUCAAACCAUAUGUACAUGACUUCGCAUACAGAUCUUUCUCCAUGCACAUCGCUAAACUCAUGACAAAGUCUGCCUGUCAGUCCACCCUUCAAAUACGCUGCCCGAACUGAGCUGAGGACACCAGAUGCCUUCUGACCCCCGCCAAACACAAUGACGCUAUUAUCUGGACACUGUACUUCUGUUAACGCUGCCUGAAAUUUGCAUUACAUUUUCUGGCAGCCACAUUCCCCUUUGAUCAUAUUGAGCUUAUGGUCAACCAAAGCCUUGUCUCUUUCAUGUGAACAGCUUUAAGUCUAAUCUUUCUCCUCCUAUAUUUGCUAGUUGAUGCUUUGAAGUAAACGUGGGCUAUGAUACAUUACAUCGCUAUAAAAGUUUAAGUGAGCUUAUCAAAUUUCAUCCCAUUCAACUAUCUGGAGACAUGAACUAACAUUUGUAUAAAACAGUGUGAUUCUUUCACAUAUAUUUUUAUUUAAUCUCUACAACCACCACACAAGAAUCAACGGAGAAAAACGACUUUACUCUGUGUCUAGAGUUGGCAGAUGCAGCACUUCGUCACAGGUCUUAAGACUCCAGCUGCCAUGCUCAUCUGAGCGCCGUAGACUUAGUAAGCACCUAGCGUGUCCUUGCCAAGUGGCCAGCACCGUGGCUGAACAGAUGAUUUCUCUGCCUACAGUAUUCAUGGCUGGUAUAGAAACAGCUCCUGCCAGUUACGGAGCACUUUCUAUGGGGAACGCACUGUGCUAGGUUUUAUUAUUGCUCAGAAUAUGUAUUGCCUUUUCUUCACUCAUGUCCUUUGCCCAGGAGGGUUACAUUUCCCACCUGUUGACUUCAGCUUUGGGCAUGUGGCUUUCCUUGACCAGUAAAAUGUUGAAGGGAGUGAGGGUUGGCAUGUCUGAGCAGAUGCUUUCGAUUCCAACUUGGGCUUCUGCCAGCGCCUCUUUUCCAGCUGGGGAACCAGCCUGCCUCAGUGGGAUUGGGCCUCGAGUGUGGACCUUGAACCUUCAGACUAGGUCCCAAAAGAUGGAGCAGAGCUGAAGCCCAUCUUUUAUAGACACUUAAUGUGAGUGAGGAAUAAAUCCUGGUGCUGUAAGGCACUGUGAUUUUGGUACCAUUUGUUAGCAUGGCAUAACAUAGUCCUAGUAGGCUGUGAUCCCGUCAUCCCCCAAGGUGCUGUGUGAAGACAGAACGUAGACCUGUCCUCAAGGCGCAUGCAGCAUGGUGGAUGCACUUAAUUCCCAUGGGUUAUUAGUAGCUGGGGAUUAAGAGCAAAGAUGUAUGAGGAUUCUUCCUGACCUUCACCUCACCCCUAGACUGAAUUAGUCAGUGUGUAUUAAAUCCUGGGUCUGUGCUCCAGCUGACCACUAUCAGUUUCCUAGCAUGAAAAUUGACAGGCAUGUUUUCUACAUCCUCGUUUCAAUUACCUUUUGUAAAACAAAUGUUUUAAAAAGAUGGGCUUCUAUGGAAUGGUUAUCAGAAGUGUUCUUCAUAAGUCUAUAACCAGCACACCCUAGGUCACCUCUGAAUCUGCUUGGUGGAACUGUUUCUCCAGCACAUCCAAAAAAAAGUAUCUUGAGGCCAUCAGGUCCAUGUGAAUUUUAUUUUUGAGCCUCAAAUUCCUUAUUGCCAUAGUCAUGUAUGCACCUUGCUUUGAUAUGGGGUAUUUGCUGGGGCGCUAGAUGCAUUUUCGUACACUGAGAAGCUAAGGCCUACAUGGAUAGGGUUCAGGGGAGCUCACAAAACCUUUGAAGUAAUUACCUCUAAAAUUGUGUGUCACUGUGCACUGUUUCAGGCCCUUUCAUCAGAGGGAAUGAAUUGUGACUCCCUGUUGUACAGUGAGGCUCUGGAAAGCACCCAUCCGUUAAGGGACAGUUGGAACAAGAACCAGAAAUGAUUCUGACAAGGGAUCUUGAGAAAAUGGUUGAGAACCAGGAGCAAAUGUGUUACCUACAGAAGCCUGUUCCUUAUUGAAAAAUCUGUUCUAAAUUGUGCAUGGAGACUGUAUCUAUUCUCAUGAUGCUACACUGUGAUUCCGUGGAAAUUACUAAAUUUGAAGACACAUUUAGUAUCUUAAGAUAGGACUUUUCUUAUCUAUAAAUAUGAAUUUAAAGCAAUUACUUUUUAUUUACUGUCUCUUAUUUUGUGCUCAAUUUCUUUUUCUUUUUCUUUUUUUUUUUUUUCCUUUAUCUGUAUUUACCCUUCCCAGAUUAAAGAUCACUGUUCUUGUUUAAAAACACUGGCUCAGGAUAGACGUGCAACAUCCCAACAAAGGCUAGGCUAGCCUUUAUUCUUUUUGCUGAGAAAGCUAUUUUUUUUUUUUUACUUCACAUUUUUGACAAGUCUUUAUUUUAAACAAUUUCAUUGAGAUUUAAUUGUACAGUGAAGUGCAUGUGUUGGAAAUAGACAGUGAGGUGAGCUUUGACGCGGAUGUGCCCACAGCGCCAUUAUCACUGCCAGAGGCCCUGGGCAUCCAUCAGCUCCUAAAGUCCUCUGUUCCUCCUGGUAAUCCCCUGUCUCUGCCCAGGCAACCGCUGUUUGUUUUCUCUCAUGUUCCAUUCAUUGGCAUCACCUAGGAUGCCCUUUUGGGGGCUGCCUUCUUUACCUAGCACGAUUAUUUUGAGAUCUAUCCAUGUUGUAGCAUUUAUCCACAAUUUAUACCUUUUUAUCACUAAGUAGCAUUCCGUUGUCUGGCUCGUUUAGUGUGGCCAUUCACCUGUGAGUACACACUUGGGUGGAUUCCAGUUUUCGGUUUCUACAAAGAAGGCUACUGUGCUCUCCCACACAGUACCCACAUCUCUGUGUGGGCGUAUGCCUCUGUUCCUCUUGGGUGAAUACUGAGCAGUGGAGUGGCUGAAACGCAUGCUAGGUAAUAGCGCCUUAGAAACCAAACUUUUUCCAAAGUGGUUCUACCAUUUAACUUUCUUAACAGCAUUUUGCCAAUACUUGGUUUGGUUCAUCUUUCUAAUUGUCAUUCUAGUUGGUGUGCAGUAGUAUGGCAUGGUUUUCAUUGUAUCUCAUUAAUGACUAGUGUUUCUCAUCUAUUUAUGUCCUCAAUUACCAUCUCCUCCUUUGGUGAAGCAUCUGUUCAAACAUUUGUCCAUUUUUAAAAAUUUGGUUAUUUUCUUACUGAGUUUCAAAGUCCUUUGUAUUCUGGAUAAAAGUUCUUCAUCAGAUUUAUGAUUUGCAAAUAUUUUAUCUUAGUCUGUGGUUUGUCUCUUUGUUCUCAGCAAUGUCUUUGGAGAACAGAAGUUUUUAAUUUUAAUGAAAUCUAAUUCAUCAAUUUGUUCUCUUAUGGAUUAUGUAUGCUUUUGCUAUUGCAUAGACGUAUCUUUGCAAGUCCAAGUUCAUAAAGUCUUUCUUCUGUGUUUUCUCAUAAAUUAUAUAGUUUUAGACUUUACUUUUAUUUAGGUCAGUGACCCACUUUGAGUUAAAUUCUGCAUUUGUUUUAAGGCAUGGAUCAAAAAAUUGUGUGGGAUAUUGUUGCAGCAUCACUUUGUUGAAAAAUAACCCUUUUUCCACUGAAUUGAGUUUGCAUCUUUAUCAGAAACCAGCUGGUCAUACAUGUGUGCUUCUCUGUUGGCUGCCAUUCUAUUGGUUGGGGUGUUGGUCAGUUGUGACACUAGCGCCGCCCUCUGCCUACCGGACCUGCAUACUGAGUGCUGAGGUUGGAUGGUGUCACUCCUCUGGUCUUACUCUUUUCUAAAGUUGUUUUGACAAGUCUAGGUCCUUUGCAUUUCCUUAUGAAUUUUGAAUAAAUUUGUCAACCUCUUAAAAAAAUAAACUCCUGACUUUGAUAAGGAGUGUAUUGUCAGUAUUCUUGACAUGUUAAGAAUACUGAGUCUCCUGGUCUAUGAAUAUGGUAUUGCUUAUCUGAGUGCUUUCACUUUUCUUAGCGAGAUUUGGUGGUUUUUAGGUAUAGAUCUUCUAUAUUGUGGCCACAUACAUAGCCCUGUGUCGGGAUAUGGGAGACUGUGUUUCAUCUGCAAGACAGACUGACAGGUAGCUACAUAUUGGGGAUUGAGACUGACUGACAUGCUUGUGAGGGUUGGCAAGUUUGAAAUCCAUAGGACAGGUCAGCAGGCUGGGAUCUCAGGCCAGAGAGUUGGUGCCGCAGUCCUGAGUCCAAGGUGUGUAGGGCUGGCUGGCAGGUGAGAAACUCAGCAGGAUUUCUUUUGCAGUCUGGAGGCUGAAUUCCUUCUGCAGAAAUCUCCCUUCAACUGAUCGAAUAGGGCCCAACACAUUCCAGAGAGCCAUCUCCUUUACUUCCCAAUUACAAGUGUUAAUCACAUUACAAAAUACUCUCACAGCAGUGUCUACUUGUCUGACCCAACAGUUGGGUGCAAGGUCUAAUAACCAAGUUGAUACGCAGAAGUGGACAUCACCACCCCUAAACAUUGCACAUGUUUCUGUGCUGUUAUAAAUGAUAUAUAUUAUCAAGUUCAUCCAGUUAAUUGUUGCUCCUUCACUACGGGUUUUCACUCUAGCCUCACUAACUUAAACAGAUGGAUGACCCUUUCCAUUCGGGGUUAAGAUUACCUUUGAUCAUUUUAGGCAUAUCCUUUAAAAGUAUGAAUUAUUUUAGACACUUCCUAGUGUAAUUAGUUAAUAUCUCACUCGUUUGUUGAAAUCAUUUGACAGAAAUGACAAUUUCAUUUUAAGAAUCUUGUCUUAACUUCAUUUGAGACAGCUUUCCCUUUUUUUUGGAUCCUUACAGUUCUUAAAUGUUCAGAGAUUGAAAAUUAUGUAGAAUCUAGAUAAUUAGCAGAACGGAUGUGCCAUCAAGGAAACAAAGUUUGGAAGAAAAGAUCCAAAUUUAUAUUUUAGGCAUCGCCUUUAUGCCUUUCUUUAAUCAGGUUAUUCCUCUGCCCCAGUCCGUUAAUUACAAUGAUACUGCCCACUUGACGCAGCCACUGUGAAGUUCAGUGAGAUGGACACAGUCCUUUCAAAAAGAGUAGCUCCCACUGUUAUUUCAUAAAGCGGUGUUUAGCACUGACUGUUUGCUUUUCUUUAUGAAUUUUAGAAUGUUUGUCAGUUUCACCAUAAAAGCCUGCAGACACUCUCCCCAGCUGCAGAAUUACAGGAGUGGAAAAGAUAAGCCAGACUCCUGCUCUCAUGGAGCUUCCAUCCUGGCGGGUUAUAAUAGGAGAGGCAGAUAGGAAGCAAAUAAAGGAAUAAAUUAAUGAGAUGAUUUCAGGUUGUGGUAAGUAAGUACUGUGAAGAAAAUUGAAGAGGGAGAUGUGGUAAAGAACUUCUGGGUGGGGGGCCCACUGCAGAGUGGUUCAGCAGGUGGGACUUUUUUGAGGAAGAGACCCCAAAAGAAUUUGAAGGGACCAGGCAUAUGAAGAUCUUUGUGAAACUGUUUGGCAGGAGAGAGCACGCAGACCCUCCACAGUAGGGGCGAUUUAGCAGAUUGGCGAAACAGAAGCCAGGAGGUCUUAGAGGGGACACAUGGAGCAGUCUGGGGGGCCAGCGCCUCACAGGCACAGGAGAGGGUGGCAUCUGAGAGCAGUGGCAGCCAUUUGAGGGUCAAGAGAGGAGGGACAGGGUCAUUGGAGGGAAACAUUGCCAUGGCCCUUUGCAUGUGCCCCUCACUCUGCAACAGCGGCGAGCGGUGUCCUUUAGUGAUGGGAGUUUAUGUUGCCCAAGAGACGUGAGACGACUUGUUUUCCGUGCUAUAAAAAUCCUUGCCAGAUGAUCAAAAUCAGUUUCCUAUCCUUUAAAUUUUACUAAGACUCGUUAUGCACUUGUAUCUAUUUUCAAAAAUUCUGUUUUGUGGAUUUUUCCCCUUUAAUAAGUAAGCCAGGCGGCAGUUGCUAGUGUAGCAGCCACGAGCGUGACUUGAGCUGCAGUAGGCUGGUGAUCGCGGGGCUCCGGGAUCAGUAGCGCCUCCGACUGCCAAGAUGGGCACCCCCUUAGAAUCCCACGAAGGUUGCGCUGAGUGACGUUUAGUAGUAUUUAGUCCUAAUUUUUUCCUUUUAUAGAAGAGCCUGCUUAGAUCCAAAGAGGUCAAAUGGCUCACAGUAUAUAAACAUUAAAAAUAAAGUGAGCCUGGUUUUUGUUCUCUUCCCCAUUGUAGGAUGAGAAGUUCUUGAGGCAAAACAUUGACUCAUGGAAAAGAUGGUGACAUCAGUUUGCUUUAGAUCUGCUGCGUUCUUCUCUGCUGCUCAUUUAUUUUACACUCAGGCUGUUUAGCACUUACCCGUGGUUUGAGAAUGUUGGGAUGAAUCAGACAGUCCCUCCUUUCAUGUAGACACACAAGUAAACAGUUGGCAUGUAAGUUAAAUGCCAUGUUGCAGGCAAGCGCCUAGGUCCGUGGUAGGCGUGUCUGGCGCGGCUCUGCGUUCAGAGUCCACUCAGCUGCAGGUUGCAUGUCCCGCUCCCUUGUGUGGCCUGCAUCCUGUCGCCGCAGCUGUUCGCCCUUCCCUGUGUUUUUUUUUUUUUUUUAACUCCUCCCAGCCAUAGUCCUGAGCUAACAGCGGGCCAGGUUAAACACCAGGGGCCAGGCCAUACAUAUCUGACCAGUAAGAUUUGUCUGGAUGGCCUUGUUCUGCUCCUGACGCUGGGGAGCCUGAAGGCCUCUGUGCUCUUGACCCACUGUAAGCCUCUAAAAUGGCAGCGAGUCUUAGAUUAGCUAGAAAGCCACUUAGAGACUAAUUUAAGAAUUGUUGAUAUUUAUGUCUUCCUCCUCCCAACUCAUGUAGAUCUUACUCAUUUUAAUUUUUGAAAAAUUCUCAAAGGAAACUGAGAAACAAUUUUUUUUGUUUAUGUAUUUUGGCUUCCUUGCCUUUUUACCAUAUUUUAUUUGGGGGGAUUGGCCACUCCUAAGAAAACCAGCACGUGACUUUCAUUGUGGAUGUUAACACACGUUCCGAAUCUUAGGAGCACCAGCUUGCACUCAGAGGACAGGUGCGUGCAGGGGCCCUGCUCCAGGGAGGGGGACUGUACUUUCCUUGCAAGUCUUUCACUCUCAGGAGCUUAUGUUUUCUGUGAAACCUAAACAGUGUCCUUUGGAUAGGUGGGUCUGAGUCGUGCCCUUCUGUGCUGACAAAGGGGAGGUACUUUCUGUCUCCACACGAAGACUAUGUAUAUUUGUAUUUUUUCUUGUAGGACUCAAUUCCGUAUUCCCGAGCCUGUGUGAGCCCAGAGUGCAGCAGACAUUGUCCAGACGACUCGGUGAGCCGUUGCUGGUACUGUUAGCACAGAGCUUUAGAUGACAACGGGCUUUGACAGUCUCCAUCUCGUGGGUCGUAUGAGGAUAAAAUUAUCCAUCUCCUGGGCCUUAGAAGGGAGAGAGCUCGAAUCUUAGAAGUGUGAACUGCGAAAGUCGGACUCAAGUUAGCCUCGAUAAGUGAUAAAACCAAAUUCUGUGUGAAUAACUGUUUCCCCACUGCAUUUAUUUUGUGCAGAUUGAGGAGCUGAACUAUAGAAGGAUUGUCUAUGAAAGGUGAAUAAGCUACCCAUUGUGAAUGAUAUUAGCUUGUAGAGAAAGCGUCUCCAGCUGCACUAAAUAUAAAACUGUCAGGCCUCGCAGUAACUACUCAUCCUUCUCAGUUGACAGCGGAGACAUGUGGCCCAGUCGUGAGGGCGGGCUCCAGACUGGCUGUGGAGGUGCCCACCUGCACCAGCUGCUGGGAGACUCUGGGCUGACUGCUUUCUACGUCGCGGUCCUCGUCUGCAAAAAUACUAGUACCUGAUGCAAGUGUUGGCUACUCUUAAGGGUCUGUCUGUGAUAUGUUUUCAGUGACUGGUUUUAUUAGUGAAAUUUUCAUGGAGAACUAACAUUUGAACUGGACCUUGAAGGAUAAAUUGGAUUUAUAAAAAUGAAACAUAAUUGAAAGUGGGAAAAGGUAUGUGGACAAACUUGCAGAGAAGAUAAACAGUCUUUUCCCUUUUCUCCUUCCAUUUUUGCAUAUUAACUCUGUGUCUGUGCUGGGGUCAGCAUUUGGUGGACAUUCCCUAUCUUACUCAGUCUCACAAUAACCCUACCAGGUGGAUAAGUCUUUUAAAUUCUCGUUUUACAGUUGGGAAAGUAGCCACAGAAAAGUAAAGUCCCUUUCCCUAAGUCACAGUUAGAUGCUGGCCUAAUUCUGUCUGACUGUCAGGUUCUUAAUUGUCAUCUAAUUCUGCCUUCCUCAGGUUAGACUAUCAGAACAUGAUUAGAAAAACGGUGAAUGCGCCACAGUUGGCGUCUGAACAUUAACAGAAUUUCUGUAGUCAGGGCGCUCUGCUCACAGGGUCGCAGUGAGAGACUGGACUCUGCCUCUAGUCAGUUCCAGAGGCUGCGGAGGGGACAGCCGAGUGUGAGUGUGGUAUUGUUUCCCGCCCCACCCGCCGCAUGGGGGCCUUGGUAGUUUUGAACAUAAGAAUGACAGCGUUUGGUUGAAGUUUUCAUCCGUUUUGUUAUUAGAAAUUGUACAGAUGUCCUCAGUGGACCCCCAUGGGCACCAUGGAUGUCUGUCUCCAGGUUGUGGAUGCCCAGCGUUGGCUGCCAUUGGAGCACGCUUUCCAGCCCCACCACAGGGCAGCGUCUGCCUGCUAGGCCUCAGCACAUAGGCCCUGUGUAGGCCCUAGUCCAGCGUGCUGGGUGACACCGUGGGUGACACUGACUCUGUCACCACCCGUCCUUCCUUCCCCGCGCCUGCGGCCCCACCUUUCUUCUGAACCUGGACAGGAGCCGAGAGUCCGUCCUCACACUUUUUCCUCUCUAGUAGCUCAUUGGCCUGAGUUGAAUUUUAAGUUGAUCUGUCACCACGUAUUACUUCCUUCCAUUAACUAACUGGUGGUGGGCUUUCCCCUCUGUAUUUUUAAUCCCUUUUGUUUACAUCUGAAACUCCCCUUUCCAGAAGAUACAGCCAACAACUCAGGCAAGCCUUCAUAAAACUAAAGUCAGACUUAAAUGAACCAGUCUUCUUAACUAGGAUCUUUCCUUAGCUCCCUUCCCUCUGCUUUUAAGAAACUAGAAAGUGACAUGGAAACAAGUACUAGAGAUUUGGACCCAAAUCUAAAAAUCCUCUAGCUGGGACUCUGGGAAAGUGGUGUGGUGGAGUGCCGUAGAAUCUUCCCAAGGCCCCCGUGGCCCACUGCGACCCGGCGCCUCUGGGGCUGCUUUGUGUGGUGGGGCCAGGGCCCUAGCACAGCCAGAGGAGCUACCAGUCAGGAGUGUGGCUGGGGAGCAGUCGCCCUCCGACCUGCCUCCACAGGUUGAUCCGGUGGCACGUGGUGGCUGCUAGUGCCCUGGAGUGGCUUCAGGCUCCAGCGGCCCCAUGGGACAUGGUGUCCAUCUGCACUUUGCUUCUGAAUUUGCAUGUUGAUACACAUUCAUGAAGAUGCUCACAUUACUUCAGGACCUCUUCAUAUUAUCCUCAGGAUUUGGACAGUGUUUAUCAAUGAAAAAGAAAAUGUUCUGGGAUUUUAAGUUAAUUUAAACUACUGUAGCUGUUUGAAUGACUAAAAGAAAUGACUUUUUUUCACUUGGGCAAAUAAAUUAUAAGACUGGAUACAGCUUAAUUUGUACAAUAGUUUAUUCUUAAAAUGCUAUUUAAGUUAACAUUUUAAUGCCAACAUUUUUAAAAUUCAUUGGAGGAACGUAUUUACAGGAACUCAGCUGUAUGUUAUAAAUAAAAAUAAUUGAAACCAAGUUUAUCUUUUAUAACUGUGUGUUUUAAAGAUCUUAACUGAGAAGUAAGCAGCGUUUAGUGAAAACAGCAGCGUUUCUAACAUCGAUAUUGCAGCAUCAUUUGGAGGUGGCCCGGUCAGCCUCUGGUCAGGUGACGCCAGCGUCGUGGUGGUGGAGUGGAGAUCUGUGUGCUUGCGCUGUCUCCACACAGACCUACCCACGUGGUUGUCAGGUCUUCCGACUCCUGGGGUGAGGUUUUUCAGGAAAGUACAGACCUAGAAGCACCAUCCCAGCUGUGGAGCGCUCUGUUGUUUCAACAGUGCUGCUAUAUUUUAUAAUUUUAUCUAUUUAAUCUUCACAGCCACUCAGAGAGAGUGUUUUUAAUUCCAUGUUAUAGGGUUUUCUUAUUUUAUAGAUUGGGAAACUGAUUCUGUGCAAUUGAUUUAUAUACUCAAGGUCACAGCUUGUGUGUCAGUGGAAAUGCAAGGAUUUGAUUGAACAGAUGUGAUCUCUUAAGGAACCAAGGUUAAUAGGCUUUAUGAACGAUAAAUUAGUAGGAGAGUCAUUUAUACCUCUUGGCUGGAGAAGAAGAUUCUCCUUCUCAAGUAUACCCCUAAGUAGUUUCCUUAUUAGAAAGCUUGAAAACAAUAUUUCAAACUAAACAGGUAUAAAUGAGUUUAUAAAGAUAAAAGCCAUUCUGAAAUUAGGUAAGUAGCAAGAAACAUGACUUCCAUUUGAGGUUUGAUCCAUUUUGACAUCUUUCAUCAUUUUCUCCUUGGUUGUUUUCAGAAUCUAGGAAAGCAGGUGGGGCUACAUUAUUUUUCCUUUGUUAUUAGGGUCAUGUCAUAAUUAUUCCCUGUGACUUUUGUCCAGUCUCACUGCAGUUGCCAGGCUUAGUUGCCAUCAGAUGAGGUCACUAGCUAGUGGCUCCUGGAGACCCUCCCAGCUCGCAGUGACUGAGGGAAGCCAGGGCACAGCAGCCAUGCCUAUGCAUCCGUCACCUGCCCUCCCACCCAGCCAAAGCUUGUGGUGAGGCCUGGAGGACAAGGAGAACUGUCAGGAACCUUCCUCACAGAGCAGGUUGGUGCUACCACAGAAUCCGUGGCAAAACGUGCUCUGGCGCAGGUCAGACUCAGGCACUCGCCACCUCCGUGGACAGGUCGGUGUGGCAGCCAGCUCCAGUCUCCGCACAGCAGCCCGGUGCCAGCCAGCAGGUCCAGGAGCCGCCUGUCUGGCCAGCAGAUCUUAUGUAUGUGAUGAAAGCGGUGUGGGAAACAAAAUGGUUUCAGUGCUAUUGCUUUGUGAAACACAGCCAAGUGAUCAAACUAUCUGCAAACCCAAUAAUAAUUUGUGAGUAGAUGCCCAGAGGAACAUGUUACACGGAUAAUAAGUGAACAACACUCAGGCAUGGAGUGCUGUCCACGUAAGAUUAUGAGCCCCUUGAGGACAGAGGCAGGCUAUUCAUCUUCGUAAGGGGCCUGAUGGCACGGCCGACUGGACCAACAAAUCUUAUCACCACCACCAUCCCAAAGCGCUAAACUCAGGGAGAUGCCAGAUAAAACGUUGUGCACACAACUAACCGGCUGCAGUUGCAAAGGAAAGGGUCCCAAUUGCCAGGAGUGAAGAGAAGACAGCCAAAGCAGUAAACUCAGGAGCUGGAAGCUCCUGGGAUGUGGGGUGAUGAUCUUGGCUCUGAGCCUUCCCAGUGGGCUUGGAACUUUAACAGCAAAACCAAUGGCCUGAAACUACAUGGCUGAGAAUAAGUAACAGGGAACAGAACCCAUGUGAUCCCAGCACAGGAGUGUCCAGUCAGCUCCCAUCCAGAAUGUGGGUGCCAUGAAGGACCAAUUCAGCUGUCUGGCUCCUUCAAGCUCUGCACAUUCCAAAGAAGUCUGGCCCUGACGAGCUCCUAGAAGGUAACCUUGAAACUCUUGGGAUAUCCUGCAUCAUGUGAGAGCCAUGUUUUACGUGGUCCUUGAGCCACACCAGGUGCACACAGCAGUUAGGGUACGGGGCUUGCACCUCACACAGCCAGGUCGGCCAUGUGGGUGUAGUACACCUACCCACGAAACACCCCCAAUCAAAACCCUGGACGUGAAAUCACAGGCCAGUUUCCCUGCUCGGCGAUAAUCUACACAUGGCUUUACUCACAUUUUGGAAGAAUUAAAAUGCAGUCCAUGCACCUCCUCAGAGAGGACAGCUGGGACCGCGCACCUGGUCUUCUGGAUGCUUCCCUAGUGCCUCUUACUUUCGCUGAUUUUAAAUUAUCUUCUUGCUGCAAUAAAUUGUAACUCAGCAUAACUACUUCCUAAGUUCUGCGAGUGAACUCAAGAGUGGUCUUGGGCACCCGGUGGGUGAACUUAGGGUAGCGGUGUGCUUUGGAAAGUGGAAUGGCAGGCUUUUUCCUUUCUUGGAAAGACGAGGAAGGGAGUCCAGUGGCCCAUGGGGGUGGGU